rnacentral:rRNA from 1 species
UGCCGGAACCCUCACGGGACCAAGCGGCCGAAGGCAAGCGUCGUGACUGGGGCGAAGUUGUAACAAGGUAGCCGUAGGUGAACCUGCAGAAGGAUCA